rnacentral:lncRNA from 1 species
CUUGAGCCAAGAAUAUCCUAGUACUACUGGGACUGCCGGGGAGGAAAUUAACAGAAGGGAAAUCAACUCCUCGUGGAAAAUACCAACAGUAAGCUUAACGGGUUCGGUCUCAUGGAAUAUUACUGGUUCAGAUAAAGGUCUACCAUCUAUGGCCUCAACGGCCAAGGGUGUAUCUCUCAGUUGGAAUGGGAUACAAUGCUUAUUAGCGAAAGUUUGGUCUAUAAAGCUUUCUGCUGCUCCAGAAUCUAAUAAUGC